rnacentral:rRNA from 1 species
GACGAACGCUGGCGGCGUGCUUAACACAUGCAAGUCGAACGGAAAGGCCUCUUUCGGGGGGUACUCGAGUGGCGAACGGGUGAGUAACACGUGAGUAACCUGCCCUUGACUUUGGGAUAACUUCAGGAAACUGGGGCUAAUACCGGAUAGGAGCUCCUGCUGCAUGGUGGGGGUUGGAAUGUUUCGGCGGUUGGGGAUGGACUCGCGGCUUAUCAGCUUGUUGGUGGGGUAGUGGCUUACCAAGGCCUUGACGGGUAGCCGGCCUGAGAGGGUGACCGGCCACAUUGGGACUGAGAUACGGCCCAGACUCCUACGGGGGGCAGCAGUGGGGAAUAUUGCACAAUGGGUGGAAGCCUGAUGCAGCAACGCCGUGAGCAGGAUGACGGCCUUCGGGUUGUAAACCGCUUUCGCUCAUGACGAAGCUUUGUGUGACGGUAGUGGGUAAAGAAGCACCGGCUAACUACGUG